GCGCGCGCCCGCGGUCCUGCAGGAAACCCCGCGGUGCGCUUAGACGCGGGCGGCCGUGCGGGAGAAGGUUCGCGGGAACGAGAGCCGGUGCCUGUGGGCACCCGGGCCGAGGCACUUCUCCGAGACCUGGGGCGCGGACGGGGCGCGGGAGCAGAAAGGGGGAAGGUGCGGCGCGGGCGCACCCGGGGCAGGCGUAUUCCUUCACCGACAUAACGGCUGCUCUACCUCCAGUUGGUUUCUUAGAGGAACACCACCUUCCCCCUGCGAUCCGGAAUCUGUCCUGCUAAUCCCCGAGCGUGAGCCCUCCUGCCCACAGCGCUGCCGUGCAGCCCACCGCCGGCCUCCUUCCUUCCCGGGGCCCAGCUCGGCCUUGCCGCGGCUAAGGUGUUGGCGGCAACCAAGCCUUCCGGAGCGUUCAUCGGCACGUCCCAAAUCCGGGUCGGAAGAUUCCAGUGGGGUCAGUCACCAGCUGGUGAGACCGGAGGGCUACCCUGUGGCCUUAGGUCCCCCAAAUUUCAUUCCAACUUUACCAAAACUUCAAUUUGGGAGCAAACUGGUUUUUUUCCCAGAGAAACUUCCCACAAUUCUUCUUCGGUUUAGGCUAUGCUCAGCUUUUGACCAAGACCUGGGCUGUUUUAGUCUCUGUGGGUACCCGCCCCCCCGCCCCCGUCACUCGCUCCGUAAUUCUUGGUCGCACCGUCCCACACCCGCCAGGCCUGCGCACAGCUCACGGCAGCUGCUUGUUCUGCUCGGCUCCUUGUGGCAUCAAAAACAGAAGCUCUCCAACUGUAUUAUUAUUAUUUUUUCUAUCCACAUUUUGUCACGAACAUUUUCAAGUAUAGAGAAAAGCUGAAAGAAUCGUUUAGUAAGCAGCCACACACUCACCUAGGCGCUCCGAGUGAGUGUUCGAUCACACUUCUGUCCAUCUAACUAGCCUCUAUCAGCCCACUUUACUUUUUGCUGCAUUUCAAAGUAACUGAAGAUACCAGCAUACUGCACCCUGAAACGCUUUAUGGCACGUACCCUGAAUUAAGGUUCAGUAUCUGUUUACCUUCUGUUGAGGAGAAAGUUCCUACAGUAAAAUAAACAAGUCCUGAGUGUCCCACUGGAUGAGCUUUGACAAAGCACACCCCCAUUUAACCCGGACUCCCCUCCGGAUAUAUCGCAGCGGAUUUCUUCACAGACUGGGAGUUUUGUGAACGCUCAGUGGUUCUUCUUCUUCUUCUUCUUUUUUUAAAGUGCUCAUCACACUAAGAAAUUUUUGAAUUGUGGGGAAAAAAUGUAACAGAAUUUACCACGUUAACCAUUUUUAAGUGUACAGUUGAGCAGCGUUGACAACACUCACAGUGUUGUGUAAUCUCAAGAACUUCUUCAUCCUGCAAAACUGAAACUCUAGGGGUGCCUGGGUGGCUCAGUGGGUUAAAGCCUCAGCCUUCCGCUUGGGUCAUGGUCUCAGGCUCCUGGGAUCUUCCCCCUCCCCGUCUGCCUGCCUCUCUGCCUACUUGUGAUCUCUGUCAACUAAAUAAAAUCUUAAAAACAAACAA